rnacentral:rRNA from 1 species
AUGAACGCUGGCGGCGUGCCUAAUACCUGCAAGUCGCGCGCACGGACGAGAAGCUUGCUUCUCUGAUGUUAGCGGCGGACGGGUGAGUAACACGUGGAUAACCUACCUAUAAGACUGGGAUAACUUCGGGAAACCGUAGCUAAUACCGGAUAAUAUUUUGAACCGCAUGGUUCAAAAGUGAAAGACGGUCUUGCUGUCACUUAUAGAUGGAUCCGCGCUGCAUUAGCUAGUUGGUAAGGUAACGGCUUACCAAGGCAACGAUGCAUAGCCGACCUGAGAGGGUGAUCGGCCACACUGGAACUGAGACACGGUCCAGACUCCUACGGGAGGCAGCAGUAGGGAAUCUUCCGCAAUGGGCGAAAGCCUGACGGAGCAACGCCGCGUGAGUGAUGAAGGUCUUCGGAUCGUAAAACUCUGUUAUUAGGGAAGAACAUAUGUGUAAGUAACUGUGCACAUCUUGACGGUACCUAAUCAGAAAGCCACGGCUAACUACGUG